UGGGUUUUUUUUUGGUUUGAGUUUUUUUUUUUUUUUUUUCCUGCCGUUGGAACUGGCAUUCCUCAUGACAUCCACCAGAGGUCGCCAACAGACAGAGCCCCUGGAAGGCUGCUGAGUUCAACCCGUCUACACACCUGCAGCUUGUUUUGGAGGGCGUGGAUUAUGGAUUUAAGCAGCAGCUCCUCUCCGUCUCAUCGCCUGAGUGUUUGCUUACUUCGAUAUCCUGCUGUUCCCUCGCGGUUCUGGCGAAGAGCAGUCCUCCCCGAGUUCAGUGCGCGCCUGUGCUCCCCUCGUUGUGGAUUCCCUACCUCCUGUGUCCUCCCUCGACGCUGUCGGUGCUACCGGUCAGAAGCCACCCCUCGUGUGUCCACCCUUUCCUCUCGUCGAUCCCUCUCUGGUGGAACCCCCCUCAUUCCAAGUAAGACAGACUCUGGAAUAUUCCCGAAGGAUUUUCUCCUCACUGCUCUGACCCUGCUUCUCCUGUUGGUAGCAAGACGACCCGGUCAUCUGCACCAGGAGUCGCGUCCUGACCCCUCCCCUGACUUCAAUAAACUGAUUAUUGUGCACUUGAUCGUUCUCUCUGAUUGUGUUCUUGCAUGUGGGUUCGUAAAGUAAAACUCAACAUGACAGACCGAGGUUUCUUUGGGAGCAUGAGUUACACCUAACACCCAGCACUCCAACAGAAUUACUUGUCAGUGAUCCUGAAAUAAAGACAAUUCAGGCGCUUGCAACUGAAGUCAAAAGCAGUAAUGACGUCCUCAAACUUCUGAAUCGGUUUUCCUCUUGGAAACACUUCUCAAGGUCGUUGCAAGAAUCAAGAGACUGGGUUCAAAGCAACAACAUAGUGAACAUGUGACUGUUUAAGAGCGUGAAAAGGCUGAAACAGUGAUUAAGAUUGUACAACAGCAAGCCUUCCCAAAUGAGGUAAAGAUGCUGGAAAGUGAAAAGAACAUUCCAAACACCAGCGCUCUUUUCAGUUUUGAUCCUAUCUGGUCUGAUGGGCUUCUCAGUGUGGGAGGGAGAUUAAAGCAGUCAUCUCUCUGUCUUAAAGUCAAACACCCAGUGAUACUACCCAACAACAGUCAUAUUACUAAGCUGAUUGUGUCCCACUACCAUGCUAAGACAAGCCAUCAAGGUUGAGGCCAGACACAAAUGGAGCUUAGGACCAAUGGAUUCUGGGUCAUUGGUGGGAGUAAGUUGAUGUCCAAGCUGAUACACGAUUUUGUGUUUUGCAGAAAACUUAGGCGGACAAGCAGAGAAUGGCUGACCUUCCUAAAGAACGUGUCGAAUCCUCUGCACCUUUCACGUAUAGUGGCAUGGACUGUUUUGGCCCUUUCAUUGUGAAGAAAGCCCGCAAAGACAGAUAUGGCCUAAUUUUCACAUGUCUCUACUCUAGAGCUGUCCAUAUCGAAAUGCUCGAAGACUUGUCAGCUGACUCAUUGAUAAAUGCACUGAGAUGCUUUAUUAGCAUUAGAGGAGCUGUACGACAACUGCACUGUGAUCAAGACUCUAAUUUUGUUGGUGCCAGGAACGAGUUCAUGCAAGCACUUAAACAAUGUGACACUAAGUUACUAGAAGUUUUUUUGAUGGCUUAACAGUGUGAAUUUGUUUUCAAUUCCCCCUCUGCCAGUCAGGCAGGUGGUAUCUGGGAAAGACAGAUCAGAACUAUCAGAAACGUGUUGAAUGCUACCUUUGCAUAGUCCGACUUGAUGACGCCUCCCUCAGGACAUUACUAUAUGAGGCCAUGGCUAUUGUCAACAGCCGCCCAUUAACAGUGGAUGGAAUCAAUGAUCCUUGAGCAUUGGAGCCCAUAACACCGAACCAUCUCAUUAUGAUGAAAUCUAAGGUUGCUCUCCCUCCCCCUGGAGUGUUUGUCAUAGAGGACCUAUUUGCCACAAAGAGGUGGAGGAGAGUGCAGUAUCUUAUUGAACAAUUCUGGAGUCACUGGAAAAGGGAAUAUUUGUUGAACAUUUCCAUGAGACAUAACCUCAAGAAAGAGGACAUUGUCAUUAUCAAAGACGAUAACCUUCCAAGAAAUCAGUGGCAACUAGGACGAGUGGUUGAAACUGUUCAAGGCAGUGAUGGAUUGGUCCAUCGAGUCAAAGUUCAAGUCGGAGAGCGAAAGUGAAAUUCCUCUUCUAAACUCUCAGUUAUUGAGAUACGAAUCCAGAAAUUAGUUCUUCUUUUGGAAAAUUGAUGAGAACAGAUGAACAACUUUCGUACAGUUCAGUUAUUCCAUGAUAGUUUUAUGCAAACAUAUUUAUUUAGUAGAGUCAAGAAAUCCUGUUCAAUUUAUUUACCCUUUAUGUAUUACUUUGUUCAUUGAUUGUGACAGGAUUUGGUGGGAGUGUAAAUAGCUACACUCUUUACACUGACGCUGGACCAGCGGCCCUCUUCUGGGUACGAUGUUUUCAAUGUGUCCGCUGUCCAAAUGAUAAAAUCCUCCUUGUUCAUUGGUCCAAUAGUGACACCUAGUGGUUAAUUUAUGCUUUUAUUUUGAAGAACGGUAUAUUUCUUCGUGUGUUUUGUGAUAUGCACUUCCUGUUCUUACUAAGCACGAUGAGACAGUGUUAGAUCCUGAUGGAACCCGAAGGAAAUCUUUAAAAUAGCGCCCUUGGAAAGCAAAAUGAGUUUUCAUGGUGUCUAUGACAAGAAAAGUCAAGAAUAAACUGCACCUGUUUGGAACUCCCUGCGUCUGGCUGUUUAUUCCAGGUGGCCGCUACAAUAACAGGAACUCAGAAGUUCUUGUUAUGAAGUUCUGACAUCCCUCAGACCUUCUCUCAGUGAUCAAGUUAAACUAUUUAUUAGAUUUGUAUCUGUAGCAGUUUUAUUUAUUGUUUAUUCUCUCUCUUAAUUUUUGUGUUUUAAUACCCCAACCCCUAACUUGAAAACAAAAACCUGUUGUUGCUAUGGCACAUAAUAGUGUUGAGAUUCAGAUGUGCUCAUCUGAAUCUCUAAGCACUCUGCACAGGAACACAGGGAGAGUGUUUGUCAAGGAGGAAUAACAUUCCUCUGCUUCAGCAGUGGACUGAUGCAGAAAGUCACAACAGCCCCUGUGGUUCCUGCUUGACUGUUAGAGCUCAGACGUGUAAACUGGUCUGCCAGGGUGAAGGCUAGCAGAAGUCCAACUCUAGCUGAAACGUUCUAUCAUACCAGACGGGUUGGAAAAUAAUUUUGGCUCAGAAUGGUCAGAGGAGUGCAUUUUGGGGGUUUUAAUGCAAGCCUGAUCUUUCUGAUGUUCUCUGUCGAAGGCUUGUUGUUGAAGGAGCAACACAGGAAUGCAGAGGUGACUCAAGGGCUCAGCAAAGCUAUCUUAGAAAUGAUGCAUAUCAAGAAAGUGUCGGCGAGUCAUCAGGCCAAACCUCAUCCUUACAUGAAUAGGAUCUAUCAACAUCUGGAGUCACUGGAAGCUCAAGACUUUGGAAGAUCAGAUGGAAUCCUAGUGCAGAGUUUUCGAAGUGUUGAUGGGCCCCAUCAUGCUCCACAAGGAUGGAUCUGGUUCAACAUCAGCAGCCUGAACCUCUCCAUGCUGGGUGCAGAGUUGGUCCUCUACAGGAAGACCCUCCAUUCAUGCCCUCUCACUGUCACUGUGACCCUGCACAGCAUCAUUGCAUCACAGCACAAUCUGAAUGAAAUUCCUGCUUUGGAAGAGAGGCAGCUGACGCUGGACCAGCGGCCCUCUUCUGGGUACGAUGUUUUCAAUGUGUCCGCUGUUUUGGUUAUGCAGCAUCUGGAGGUGGUGGGCUUCCAGCUGAGGUAUACAGAUGAGAGUGGGAGUUUGGUCCUCCAUGAGGCGCUGACACAGAGUCUGUACUGUUUGAGCAGAGGCGCUCUGCAGGAACCCUUACUGGUGCUUUACGAAGCACGGCCUCUUCAGUUCUAAUGACAUCACCUUGACCACAGAAAAUUCAAGGAAAAACGAUACAGUUUAUUUCCUCUUGUAUCUGAUGGCAGAAAUUCCUAAACAGUAUGUUUUGUUUUGAAUGAGUAUGCAUUUUUCUGUAAUUUCAAAUGGAGUUCAGCUUGUCUGAGAAACCAGUGAUAAAUAAUUCAAACAGCCAGCUGACAACAUUCAGAUAGAGCAGAAUUUUGAAGUGAAGCUCCUUCAAGGUUGUAAGCAGUUAUUUUUUUUAGUAUAAAUCGAGACUAGCUAGUCGUGAAGACUACAGCUAAAGGCUAAUCUGAGAGGGAUGAAGACCAAGUCAUUCUUCAGUCUGAAUGCAUUAGCGGUUUUGCUAAAGCUCUUUUAGUCGUCUUUAAACCAUUGUCAGGGUUUGUGUUCUCCCUACAUGUAACCUCCUUUCUCUUUGACACUGUAUAAUAAAGCAAAGAUGCUCAUCUUAA